CGGCCCUGAGCUCAGUUGGUUAAAGCGCUGCACCAGAAUCGCAGGGCCGCAGGUUCAGUUCCUGCAGGGCCUA